GUGAACAUCGAGAAGCAGGUGCUGUUGAGGUUGAUAGUGAUGGGGAAGAAGAGUCUUCCGGACCCGAGCAAACGGAGCCGACCUCACUGGGGGUUUGUGGAGAUGGUCACUACCAAGAUCGAUGAUAUCAAGUCGGCUCUUAAAGCAGAGGAGUAUGACACUUCCACAAGGGGACACCGCCACACGGCUGCAGCCAGAGCGUUGGGGGAGGAGUGUACCGCAUACUUAGACACAAAUCCAAGGGGAAUAAAGCGCACACGCAUCUCAUAUACAAGCUCGAAUUCCCUCCGGAAGAUGAGAAGCAGGAGCCCCAGGAGUCGCUCAACGUCGAAAGAGAAGGGUCCUUCCUCAUCCAGAUCAAGAACCCUGACCAGCACGGUGCCGGCCCUUCCCAGUUCAGGGGACUCCAGAGCAAGCGCAAGGCGGUGUUCCCCGCCCACCUACAGGGACAGUUCGGGCAGUUGAGGUACAGCCCGGCUGACCCGGCCGACUUCCUGAACUACGAAGGGUGUGAGUUGCUGUUGAUAUCGGCAUCAGACGACAUAGAGGAAGAGCUGGGGUUAGAGCUCAAAGCGGAAGGAGAGGCCGAUCCCUCAUGUUCCGAUCAGCUCGAGACGUUCGGGGAAACUGCACCCGUGGAUGCCCUCCUCAGGGCCACCUGGGUCUGAAUUUCAAUCUUUCUGAUACUUUUUGGUCUGUGUUUAACUAGGAGGACCCGUUUCAUGUUUCUACUGCAGUUGGGCAUGUGUAA